rnacentral:lncRNA from 1 species
AAGCUUCUAGUCAUAGAAAAGCACUUACAAGGACAUACAGGGUUCAUCUUGGCACACUUGGCUUGGAUAUGUGAGACAUGAUAUGGAGUUUAUAUCCAAUGAGGGUUCUGGGGAAAUAAGAAAGCAUUUGAGACAAAACAGCAAUAAGGCCUGAUUCUGAUAAAUCUAAAAUGUGUUUUAGAUUAAUAUUUGCUAUUCAUUUUACAAUUAAUUCAAGUUCUGCAUAAAAUUUCACACAAAGGGAAAAUAUUUUAAAGUCCUAAGUAUUUCCUAAUGUAACAUGAGACCAACUUCCCUGAUCUGAAGAAUUGAGAACUGUUAUAUUUAUCAAAAUAAAAAAUAAUUGAAUAUCCAUAAUCAUUUUGGCAAAAGCUAUACCACUUAACUUCUUAUGUAAAUAAUUUUCAGACUGAACUUGGCAAGUAUGCAACUAAAGGAAAGACUUCAUAACCCUAAUGUUAGAAAAUUUUCCAUAUUAUAUUUUUUACCUAUAUCCUUCUUCAAGUCUGAGAGCUCCAAUAUAUGCUAGUGAAAAAAAAGAUCAAAAUUAGCAUUAAUGUAAGGAUUUUCAAUCAAUACUGUAAAAAGAAUCACUAGGGGAAAAAAAGGCCAGAAUAAAGAAAACUCAAAUAUAUGACUUAAUGAGAAACCCUUCAAACAUACAAAAUCAAACUGUAUUACUUACCAAACCUCUACACCAUCUCCUGAUAAAUCUCCAAGGGAAAAAUGUGGGAGAUCUAAAAUGUAUCAUAAACAGGCAGAGAAAAUAUUUUAAUAGCCCUCCCCCUAAAUAACAUAAAUUCAAAUAAAAAAUUUCAGGACAAGACAUAGGUCAAUGAAGUAUAAUUAUUUUGAAGUCUUUUAUAAAAUUUCUAAACUUAUGAAUAAACUUCCAGUUUUCUGCUCCUGAGAAUGCUGAAAUACUUUUAAAAGGAAAGGGGAAAAAGAGCAAAACUUAAAUGUGCACAUGUGUGUGUGGGGGGAAUCAAUACAGAACAUAGGGAAGAGAUGAGCUGCAAGGAAAAAAAAAAAAAAAAAGCUGCAAGGAGGAGGAGAGAAAAAACACCAAAAUAAAAAAUAAAAUAAAAACCUUUCUCUGUAAUACUGUGGAGUUCUAUUUGUUUUUUCCUUCUAAUUUACUGAGAUAUGGGGCUCUUUGGAACAGACCAGUUAUUAAGUAUUUGAAUCACUGCUCUACUACAAAAUGUUCCUGUAUCUGUGUCAUCUGUAAAAGCGAAGCUGUGAGGAUUAAAAGAAAACACCCAAAAAGCACUAUGAACAGUACCUAACACACAGCAAGCACUUAAAUGCCAGCUAUCAGCACUAAACAGUGCACAUGUUCACUUAAAUAUUUCCUUAUCAGCUAUUAUCUCCUUAUCUCCCUGAUGGGCUCCCUGAAUGGCUGGAACCUGAAUUCAGGUUUUGCCAAUAUAUCUAAUGAUACUUAACUUUCAGAAUGGCUUUAGUCAAAUUCUUUCAAAUGUUCUUUCCAUAGUGACACCCCUCUUGCCUGGCAUCAAUUAUUACUUUUGAUAUUAGGAGGAGAUGGAAAUAUAGAUGUAGUGUGUCUUUCAUGCCUUUGCUCUACAAAUCUAAAGCUUUUGUAUAUAUAAAGAAGGAAACAUGUAGCAAUUAUAAAAUGUUAAAUAUUUUAUGAUGCUAAGGACAGAAUAGAGGCAUACAAUAGCAAAUUAAAUUUUACAAAUUUAAACUUCUAGAAUAAACCUUCUGUUCUUCGGUUAUAAAUCAAUAAAUCUAACGUAAGAAAAUGCUUUGUCUCUGGCUCUAAAAAGAUAAAUAUAUUUCUAAAGAAAGAUAAAAGUGAAAAUUUUGGUUCUAAUACUUGCUUUAUGACGAACUAGCUGUACAACCCUGGCUGUUACUCAACUUCUCUGGGCCAGUGAAUAUUAAAGAUAAUACAAAGUACCUAGCUGCGUGUGUCUGGCACACUGCUUUUUUUUUUUUUCCCAGGGUAGCACCUGCGGCACAUGGAAGUUCCCAGGCUAGGGUUUGAAUCAGAGCUGCAGCUGCCAGCCUGCACCACAGCCACAGCAAUGCCAGAUCCAAGCUGCAUGGGCAACCUACACCACAGCUCACAGCAAUGCCAGGACCCUGACCCACUGAGCAAGGCCAGGGUUUAAACCCGCACCCUCAUGGAUACUAGUCAGAUUUGUUUCUGCUUCGCCACAAUGGGAACUCCAAGAAUUUAGAUAUGACACCAUAUGAUGAGAAUGUUGUUAUUUUUGUGAUAAUUACUAUGGCAAUUACAAAGCACAAAUAGAGAAGUAAGAGAGAUCAGGUAGGAAAAUUGGGAAAAGAAUUUUAACAAUCUAGAAAUUGACGUGUAAAAUAUACAGCAAUGCUUCCUAACCUGUAAUCUUGUUACCUGUAAUUUGUGGAUAUAUCAAACUGACUAAAUGUGAAUUUUCUCCUUAAUUCCAUAAUGGAAGAAGGCUCCUUUAUAUCCACAGUAUAUUUGGUACUUAGAACAUUAUCAUAAAAGUGGGUCUCUAAAUGUAUAGUCUAAAAUUGAAUGUAAUGCUGUUAUAAUUAAUAAAAUCAAUCACUUUAAAAGUACUGCUCAAUUCCUAGAAUAUUUUAAAACAAAACUUCCAGUCAACUGAAGUAGUAAAGUACAACAAUUAGCUCUUAUGGCUGGUCUGAUAUUUUUUUCUACACUGGUUCCAAGUCAUCUUCUUAUGAGAUUAAGAACUACCAUCCUAGGAUAGUAAAUUAAUAAGUAGAGAAAGGAAUCAACUAUAAUGGAAAAAAUAAAAAUCAUACAAAUUAAAAAAAAAUUCUAUGAGGGGAAAAAAAGGGGGAGAAAGGAAAAGACAUCAUAUUAGAAUCAGUAUGACUUGAUUAACGGAAAAUCCAGGUUACUUAAGACUGUAACCUGUAGGACCAAAAUGUACUUCAUGCCUGUAUGGUUUUCUUCCCUAUGCCAGAAUCUGCUCCUUGUAUCCACAGUGCCAGACACACAUUUAUGCACUAAACUUUUGUUAAAUGACUAGUAUCUGUUUUUCAGCAUCACCAAAUUUCAUGUGAUCUGGAGGUACAUAUGAGAUGAGACUAAAAGACUGGGUUUAGAGAUAUAAAGUCCAGAAGCCCUAACUGUGGCUGAAGUCUCUAAAGAGGGAUAAAAGACAUAGGAAGAGGGCAUUACGAGGGACAAAUACACAAAUUGUGGAUCAAACAGAGUCAGCAAAAGUCAGAAAAGUUUUGAAGGUUUACUGAAUUCUAUCAAAAAUAACAAGACAAUCAAGGAUGAUGACUGGGUGGGGUGGGGCACAGGGGUAGACAACUGAAAUGGCCUGAAGAUCACUGCUGUCAUAAACAUGCUGGCUUUGACUUAAUGACAAUUAAAGUGACCUGUAAUUCUCCUAGGUAGAACAAAGCUGGAUGGAACCCCAAAGCAACCAAAGGCACAGCACCUUGGUUUGUCAGACAUCUAUCUAGAAUGGUAAAUUUGGUCUCAGUGCUAGGUAUACCUGGAGCCAACCUGACUUUGAUUAAUAUCUUCCAGGUCAUAAGUCUCAGCUGUGAUAUUGCUUUACUGUUUAUUCACUAGCCACAAAUACAUAUAUGGGCUAUUACCACCAGAGAACUGAUUUUCUUAAAGUUCAUGGGUAAUCAGGAUGCUAUUCAACUUUGCUUAUGCAUAUUAUACAAUAAGGAAAUAAGUUCUGAUUCUGCUCUAUCUUUAGUUUAUGACCCUAGCCUAGGCAAAUCAUGAGUUAUGAAGUAAAAUGGAAACAAUUCCCUAUUUCUAAAACACACAAACAGAAAGAUAACAAUUGCAGAUUGUCAGAAAGAUGUGAAAACAAAAAAUCAACAACACACAAAGCCAUGGUUAUAUAUACACCCAGCAUAGUUCAUGAUCUUCGAGCAGCCACUUCAAAGACAUAAAAGAAAGCCAGGGAAGGUACAAAACAGGGCAACUAAGAAGUGUUUAUAAUAAUAAAGUGGCUUUUACCUUCAAAGAGUAAGAACUCCAAUCUGGAAAGAAAGUUAAGACGAUAAAAUUGAAUUCCAUGAAAAAUCAUAAUGGUUGCAGAUAAAAAUACUAGAGUCUGGCUCCAUUUUAUUCAAAGUAAUUUAAAGCAAAUCCUGAAACACUCCAACUAGGAAAUGUAUUAACGCUGGUAAAAAGUAAAUCUCAAAUCACAAGAUAUUUCGUAAACUUGUGACAUAAGCCAUGGGUACAAAAAAAAAAGUAGUCUGAAAAACUGUAAAUAGUUUUAAGAAGGUUCCGCUAUUCAGAAGCUAUCGUUAAUCUUACUAUCACAACAUAAAAUAAUUCUUAUGCUGUUAUUUCAGUGAAACUAGUCUUUGGCCCCACCUAUAAUUCCAAGCUGGGAAAACUAACAGUCUAACCAGCUAGUUAGCAAUAUCCCAGAUAUUCCAGUUAUUCAGUAUUUCAAAGAAGCCUAAUGACAUUUACCAGCUAAGACUGCAUAUAGCAAGCAAAACCCAGAAGGCACUUACAGAGCGGUAGUUAAAAUAUGAGCUCUGGUAUCAGACCAGCCUGGGUUCAAUUCCAGAUUGGCCAUUUCUAGUUAGGAAUGCUUUGGAUCGAAAUGUCUGUGUGUUUCCGUAUUUAUAUUUACUUUACAGGAUUAAUAAAUAAGUAAGUUUAAGAUAAUGACAGCCAUUGGAAACAUUCACUAUUAGGUCUACUGUCAAGUUUGCUGACUGAAACUGUAACUAGUUCAACGUGCUAAGCUCAGUUCUCUUACUGACUAAAAGUUCUAACAAUUAUAGGUCUUCGAACUUUUUUAAAAAAGAAAAUGUUCAUGGUUGAAAAACAGACUGAGAGCUGAAAAGGUUGGAAAGUCAUUUGGAUUAAACCAUGUUUUUUUUUGUUUGUUUGUUUUUUUGCUGUGCCCACAGCAUGCAGAUGUUCCUGGGCCAGAGAUCAAACCCAUGCCACAGCAGUAACAAUGCCAGAUCCUUAACCUCUAGGCCACCAGGGAAUUCCUAAGCCAUGUAUUUUUAUUUUUAGCUUUUAUGGCCACCCCUAAGGGGUAUGGAAGUUUCCAGGCUAGGGGUCAAAUCGAAGCUGCAGCUGCCGGCCUACAUCACAGCCACAGCAACACCGGAUUUGAGGCACACCUGCAACCAACACCAUAGCUUGUGGUAAUGCCAAAUCCUUAACACACCGAGUGAGGUCAGGGAUUGAACCCACAUUCUCAUGAACACUAUGUCAGGUUCUUAACCCACUGAGCCACACACAAUGGGAACUCCCAUAAACCAUGUAUUUUCAAGAGACAUGGAAUUCUGAGGGCUUGUUUGUUUUUUUAAAGAAACUAUCUUAAUCAACUCAGCUCUCCCUAUCAAACCUAUCAAUAUCUUGUAAUACCGCUGACAAAAAUGUAUUAUUAGACACUAGAUUAACCAGUUUUGUUAAGACAUCAAAGCAUGAAACAGCUUGACCUUUAUAUUAAGGGGCCUUAUGAGUUACAGGGAAUGGAGAAAAAAGUUAUUUUUAGUAAAUCUAGUCCAUUUAAACAAAGCAACACCUGUUUUUCUUCAGGGAUAUAACAAAUGUUUCAAAGAACUGCUCAUUAUUUCAACCUUGACUAGGGAUUUCUCACUCAAGGCUUAGUUUUCAGUAAGGGAAAAAUAAAAUAUAAGGAAACCUACCUUCACAUUUGUUCUUUCAGAGUCAGUCACUCCAUCUUUAUAUUUAAAAUUUUGAACUGUACAGUAGAAAUUCUUAAAAGUCAAGUUACUUUUAUCUUAUCCAGUGGACACUACAGUUGUAAUUUAGUUUAAAAAAUUCAUAAUAUAUACACUUUAAAAACUCUUCUCUCUAGGAGUAAUCCAAAUUAUGCACAUUAUUCAUAUAUUCCAAUUAUAAGCUGAGUAUUUUAUUAGGAGGACAGAACACCUUUUAAACUUCCAAUGGUGUUUUUCUGGAAGAUUUGGUUUGAGGAUCACUACAAUUUAUAAAUCUAUUACCACCUCUUGGAAUCUUCUCUAAAUUCUUUAAGAAUAAUAGCCAUGACUUCCUAUUUUCUAUUUCUAAUUGCAGAAACAUAAAACACUCAAUGGCUAUAAAAUGAAUGGACAUAAAUCAGUUAUCAAUGUUAGGUACAGACCAGACUUAACCUUUUCAAUAAAUAGCUACUUUCAGCUGAUUAUCUAGAUUUGGUUGGUAACGUACAAGAUGAUCUAUUUAAUGAUACCCUUUCCUAAGCAUUAACAGGUUGAUCAAGAUGUUAUUGUUGGAGUUCCCAUUGUGGCUCAGGGGAAACGAACCUGACUAGUAUCCAUGAGUCCAAAGGUUCAAAUUCCUGGCCUCAUUCAGUGGGCUAAGGAUCUGGCAUUGCCGUGAGCUGUGGUGUAGGUUGUAGACACAUCUUGGAUCUGGCAUUGCCGUGGUGUGGGCCAGUGGCUACAGCUCCGAUUUGACCCCUAGCCUGGG